CAAUCAUAGCCCUAACUAUCCCCAACUAAACUAAUCAUAACUCUAACUAAAACAUUUUCUUGAUCUUAGUAUAGGAGAUAGAAAAGAUAACCUAGGCGCCAUAACAUUAGUACCGCAAGGGAACAUUGAAAGAUAAAUUAAAAGCACAAAAAAGCAAAGACUAACCCUUAUACCUUUUGCAUAAUGAUUUAGCCAGUCAACACAGACAAAAUGAACUACGCCUGACCCCCCGAAAUUAAGUGAGCUACUGUAAAACAGUCAUACAGAACCAACUCGUCUAUGUAGCAAAAUAGUGAGAAGAUUUUAUAGUAGAAGUGAAAAACCUAUCGAACUUAAUGAUAGCUGGUUAUCCAAAAAAUGGAUCUUAGUCCAACUUUAAGUCUUAUAAAGCACUACUAAUAUAAGCAUACUUUAGACUUAAAACCUAAUCAAUAGAGGGACAACUCUUCUGAUCAAGUAAACAAACUCUAUUAGAGGGUAAUGGUGACCACAAACUUCCAUUGUAGGCUUAAAAGCAGCCAACAAUUAAGAAAGCGUUAAAGCUCAAAUACACUUAACAAUUUAAUACCAAGAACAAAUCAAAACCCCUAAUUGACUAUUGGAUGAUUCUAUUUAAAUUUAGAAGACAUAAUGCUAAAAUCAGUAAUAAGAACUAAUUCUCCUCGCACAAGCCUAAGUUAGCAAACGGAUACCCCACUAACAAUUAACAAAACUAUAUUUUAACCCACAAACUAGGCUAUUUACCCUAAACAUUGUUAACCCAACACAGGAAUGCGAAAACUUUAAAAGGAAAGAUUAAAAAGAAUAAAAGGAACUCGGCAAACUAAUAUAACCCCGCCUGUUUACCAAAAACAUCACCUCUAGCAUUACAAGUAUUAGAGGCACUGCCUGCCCAGUGAGUUAGACUUUAACGGCCGCGGUAUCCUGACCGUGCAAAGGUAGCAUAAUCACUUGUCUCUUAAAUAGAGACUUGUAUGAAUGGCAUAACGAGGGUUUAACUGUCUCUUUUUCUCAAUCAAUGAAAUUGACCUACCCGUGCAGAGGCGGGUAUAAUCUUAUAAGACGAGAAGACCCUGUGGAGCUUAAGAUUAAUAACUUACCUGACUAUGACUUCUAACCUAAUGGAUCAAAACCAUAAACUUCUAAGUUAUAAUCUUUGGUUGGGGUGACCUCGGAGAAUAAAUUAACCUCCGAAUGAUAUAACCAAGAUAAACACAUCUAAGUGCAUAAAGCCAGUAAUUGACCCAAACUCUUGAUCAACGGAACAAGUUACCCCAGGGAUAACAGCGCAAUCCUAUUUAAGAGCCCAUAUCGACAAUUAGGGUUUACGACCUCGAUGUUGGAUCAGGACAUCCUAAUGGUGCAACCGCUAUUAAGGGUUCGUUUGUUCAACGAUUAAAGUCCUACGUGAUCUGAGUUCAGACCGGAGAAAUCCAGGUCGGUUUCUAUCUAUACAUUAAUUUCUCCCAGUACGAAAGGACAAGAGAAAUAGGGCCAACAUAACUCACGCGCCCUUAUACCCAUUAAUGAAAAAAUCUAAACUAAUCAAACUUAUAUCUCAUUACUCUAGAAAAGAGCAC
rnacentral:rRNA from 1 species